UUCUUCUGGGCGUCAAUAGGUGUUUCACUGAUACUUGGUUUGACUCAAGUAACAAUCAAGAGCCUUAUUACGUAGGGCGCCCAGCAACUGUGGCUCAAGUGGACAAGAAGUUGCUCUCCAUCAGGCCUCCUCAGUGCUUCACCAGACUUCCACGCUCAAUCAAAGAGCACUGCCAUUGAAAGGCAAGUGAAUGGCGGCACUGGCUCCCGUUCUACGAUGUGCCACCCUGUACAAGAAUCCUGCCCCAGCUCUACCUGAACCACUUUGUGCGCCUCGUUGAAGCUGUGUACAUACUUCUUUCAGAAGAGCUAACUGCACCACAACUUCAAUGUGUUGGUGGACAUUGGAAGUGGUGUCAUGGUGGAACAACUUCAGCUUGAAUAUGAAACAAGGGGUGCCCAGACAUCCUGGGCACUUUCCUGGGCAGACACAACUUUCAGUAGUUCUUCCGUUGCUUUUCGUUGAGAAGCUGUUCAAGUUGAUGGUUUAGAAAUGAUGCUGUAUUUUCUUUCGCUUGAGAAGAUCUUAAUAAAACGUGCUC